UACGGAGGGGGCAAGCGUUGUUCGGAAUUACUGGGCGUAAAGGGCGCGUAGGCGGCCUUCUAAGUCGAGCGUGAAAUCCCCGGGCUCAACCCGGGAACUGCGUCCGAUACUGGGAGGCUUGAAUCCGGGAGAGGGAUGUGGAAUUCCAGGUGUAGCGGUGAAAUGCGUAGAUAUCUGGAGGAACACCGGUGGCGAAGGCGGCAUCCUGGACCAACACUGACGCUGAGGAGCGAAAGCCAGGGGAGCAAACGGG
rnacentral:rRNA from 1 species